UACAGAGGGUGCGAGCGUUAAUCGGAAUUACUGGGCGUAAAGCGCGCGUAGGCGGCUUUGCAAGUCGGGUGUGAAAUCCCCAGGCUUAACCUGGGAACUGCAUUCGAGACUGCAUUGCUAGAGUAUGGGAGAGGGAAGUGGAAUUUCCGGUGUAGCGGUGAAAUGCGCAGAUAUCAGGAGGAACACCGGUGGCGAAGGCGGAUCGCCUGGGCGGUAACUGACGCUGAGACGAAGAAGCUGGGGAGCAACAGG
rnacentral:rRNA from 1 species